rnacentral:lncRNA from 1 species
AAAAAAAAAACACAUCCAUUAUGAAUGUGACUUAUUUCUCUGACUUCAUCAUUUCCAUCCAUUUUUGUUCAUUUGGUUUUACAUACAAUUUGUAAUAGGCCCAUUUUGCCUGGGCCCAUAAAAAACAAAAAAAACCAAAAAAAUAAAAUAUAUUUAUAAGACCAAACAAUGAAAGACCAAAUUGUUUAUAGGGCCAAAGUCCAUUUACAAAACCCAAAACUAAAAUGAAAAAAUAAAAAACAAUACAAUAAAAGUUCAAUAACUCAUGACCCAAUUGAAUAAAUCCUCAAACCCAACAGCCCAAACCCGAGGCCCAAUACACCCAAAAAUAAUUUUAGUAGCCUAAGAAUGCCAGAAUCUUCUGGAAUAAACUAGAGGGUUGGCUUCCCACGAGGGUUUCUCACGCACGUCUGCUUCCGUACAUCCCGGCGCGCCUCCGUACAUCCACGUCAACGGAGCCUACAAGAAAGAAAAACAAACAGCAAAGGAAGGCACGAGAAAGAGGCUAACAGAAUUUACAGCGAUUGACAGCAAGAAAAUGUAAUUUUAUUUUGAUUUUACUCUAUAAAUCCGACUAUAAAAGCCGACGAAUGUACCUACAAAAAACUUACGUACACUGUACACAUACUAUAGACACAAAAUAGAAAAGAAGAAAUCAAAAAUAUAGAAGGUGAUCUCGAUUUUUUUUUCUUCUUUUUUUUUGAUCUAUUUUAUUGGUGGGGUGAGAUUUUUUUAGUAUAUGAAUUGACACCGAUGAAAACCCAAAUGUCUCUAAAAUGAAAAGACUCGGGUGAGGGCCGAAUGUAUUCUUCAAUUUUUAUUUUUUUCUUUGUUUUUGUUUGAUUUUUCGAAGAAACAAAGUACGAUUUGAAGUUUUUUUUUUAAAAAAAAGGGAAAUGAAAAGGAUUGGUUUACCAGAUCUCCAUGGUUGCGACUUUCACGGGCAAAGAUAGGGUUGUUAAUUGCACGUCGUCGGCCACUAAUCAAAUAUUGGCUCGUCGUCUGUUAGCCAAGUGAAACCCUAGCAAUUGGGGGUUAAUGGCUGCUGCUGUUUCUAAAAAAAAAUGAUUAAAAUUAGGUCAUGUUUGAAGAAAAAAGGGCUUAAAAUCAUCCAUAAAGAAAAACGGCGCCGUUUAUAC